GACCACACGGCAAUACUAAACGCAGCACCUGACUACCCAUUGUCCGACCAUCCUACGGAAACACACGGCUUUAACAGGGACAAACUGCAGAGAAACUCCUCAUGCCCUCCUUUCACUUGUAGCAGUAGUAUGAUUUCACCAUCCUGCUACCCAUUUCACCCAAACCCGUUAUUAAAUAUGAAUUGUGCAAACCAACAAUCUUGUAUGACAUGUAUUAAUCUGUGUACCCAUUGUAUCAAUAAGAAUGUGACCUUAUUGUUACUUGAUAUGUUUCUGAAACGUAAAUCCUUGUACCUGUUAUA